rnacentral:rRNA from 1 species
CAGCAGCCGCGGGAAUACGUAGGUCCCGAGCGUUGUCCGGAAUUAUCGGGCGUAAAGCGCGCGCAGGCGGAUAGGUCAGUCUGUCUUAAAAGUUCGGGGCUUAACCCCGUGAUGGGAUGGAAACUGCCAAUCUAGAGUAUCGGAGAGGAAAGUGGAAUUCCUAGUGUAGCGGUGAAAUGCGUAGAUAUUAGGAAGAACACCAGUGGCGAAGGCGACUUUCUGGACGAAAACUGACGCUGAGGCGCGAAAGCCAGGGGAGCGAACGGGAUUAGAUACCCCAGUAGUCCCUGUCUCUUAUACA